GAGUUCAAGUGCUUCUUUAUAAAGGACACUUAACUGAUCUAAAUAUUUGUCAAGCUGAAUCGCUACAUCCACUCUCACCUGCCUGAAAUCAAUAUGCUCAAGUCAAACGCAUUUGCCUGCAUCUGAAUGUGGAGAAUGAACUUCUUAAAGCUGAACUGGCAGCUGGAAGGGGAGAGAGAAGAGCUGGACAGGGAGCCAGGACACCGGAGUUCUUUUCCACUGUGGUGGGAUCUGGAAGAAGCUGUUGAAUCUCUGUAGAGUUAGCUUUUAAAUGCUCCUUGAAUUCUCAGGCAGUGAAUGCACUACCGUGUGCAGAAGGCAAGGACAUGGCUGAGCAUGUUGUUUUCUUCACCUUAUAUGGAGCUUCCUUAACAGGUUCCUGGUGCUGGUUCCAGCAGAAUAGACACAGAGAUGCAUGGCCUAACUCCCACUCCCUCUUCAGGACUGAGCCACGCAGCCCCCCAUCUGCCAGAAGUGUUAGCUGUUGACGGCUCACAGCUGAGUCCCUCUCCAGGCAUUGCUGAAAAGAGCCACCUUGCUCUAGGAUGUGCCCCCACCCUGGGGGCAGCAUACAUUCCAAGUGAUUAGUCCAUAGUGUGGUACAAAGGUUGUACCCAUCUUGCCUGAAUUCAGGAUCUCUUGGAAAACCACCCCAGCUCUGCAGCUCCUGGUGGGGUGCUGAGGCCUCUGCUGCAGCUGCAUCGCAGUUUACUUUCCCCUCUGCCUAGUCCUGCUGCCUUCACUCCCCAACAGGUAUUGUUCCCCAGAGAACUCCCUGCCCCCAGUCACCUGUAAGCAAAUCUCCACUGCAGUCUGUGGCCUGGGAAACCUGCUCUAGGAUCCCAAAGUGAACACAGCUUCCCAUUGAAAUGUGUCUUUGGGUGUUAAUCUGUCCUGCCAUCUUUACAUCUAAUCAAGAGGUAGAGCUUCCCCUGGUGUUCCUGCUGGGUACAUAAAGGAUCUUUUCCAUUGUCAAAAAAAAAAAAAAAAA
rnacentral:lncRNA from 1 species